rnacentral:misc_RNA from 1 species
CGGCAUCCGCGGCGCACCCGACGACGAACCAACGAGGUUCGUGAUGAACCUGCGUAGG